rnacentral:rRNA from 1 species
GUCAUAGUGAUCCGGUGGUUCUGAAUGGAAGGGCCAUCGCUCAACGGAUAAAAGGUACUCCGGGGAUAACAGGCUGAUACCGCCCAAGAGUUCAUAUCGACGGCGGUGUUUGGCACCUCGAUGUCGGCUCAUCACAUCCUGGGGCUGAAGUAGGUCCCAAGGGUAUGGCUGUUCGCCAUUUAAAGUGGUACGCGAGCUGGGUUUAGAACGUCGUGAGACAGUUCGGUCCCUAUCUGCCGUGGGCGCUGGAGAACUGAGGGGGGCUGCUCCUAGUACGAGAGGACCGGAGUGGACGCAUCACUGGUGUUCGGGUUGUCAUGCCAAUGGCACUGCCCGGUAGCUAAAUGCGGAAGAGAUAAGUGCUGAAAGCAUCUAAGCACGAAACUUGCC